UGGAGGCGAUGCUGGUGGUGAUCCACCACCUUACAAUUGGCAGCUACCUUCUGGAUGUCAGGCCAGUGACAAGAAAGAUUGAGUUUAUAACAUGUUUUCGUAUGUUGACAUGUGUUGUUUAUUUAUUUAAGUUUGUUUGGUAGGUUCAAUGAAGAAGAGGGGACCAGCUACAAAUUUAAAGUUGGAGAGAGAAUUUAAAAAGAAGGGUUUGUUAUCAAUCGAGUUUGAUACGAAGGACCAAAAAACGUGGCACGUAGUGGGGGAUAAUGCAAACAUGUAUAAAAGUCUGAUGGGGACAGCAGUUGGGAUAGUCCCGAUGCACUAUGACAGCUGGCACUAUGUACUGGAUGACCGGAAGAGCCAUGUUAUCCCUACUUUACGGUCAAGGUUCAACUUGAGUCCGUUUCUGGAUCUACCUCUAUUUCAUCCUCUUAGGGACGGAGUUGAAGCCGCGAUCAGGAGGGAUUGUGCUGACAUGUACAGGAACAGAAAGAGUAAACUCAAAUCCAAGCAUUUCACAAAAAGAUGAGGUCCAAAAGCUUAUGGAAAACUUGAGUUCAACCCUCCAUCCAAAGGGGAUGGAGCUUGUGGACUGGACACCUUUGUUGGAAAGCUAUAUGAGGGAAGGUAAUAUAGCAAGGGCCGCUAUAAAUAAGGAUAACCGGGAUCUACAACUGUAUGCGGGGACACAUGGUCGUCGGUCUGUCACUCAAAUUCGCCAUAAAGCUGUUUUUUAUUAUUUGACCCUGAUAAAGGAUUCCCAGACCUGGUCGACACUUUUGAAACAACCCAUAAGCAUAAAGAUGGAACUUGGGAAAACAACAAAGCCCAAGCAAAACAUCAUAAUUAUCAGGUGAAGUUGAAGGAUGCAAAAAAAACACAGAGCAUGGCCCCUAACCUAACCCCUCCAGAACAAGCAUUUCAAGGUCUCAUGGGAAGGCGACCAGUGUCCUGGACAAAGGAGGAUUUUAGCAGGUUUGGGAACGCAAGGCUACCAAUUCAACUACCCGGAACCUGAGGGAAGCCAAGUUGGCUCGUCUGCCACCCAAGGAAGCCAAGUUGACCCAAAUCUUUCUUUAUACGGGGACAACCACUCCUUCUGUAUAUACUUAUAAACAUCUGCCAAAUUAACACGUAUUAAUAAAUCUUUUUCAAUAAAAUACGAGCAUUUA